CCCCCGUUAGCUCAGUUGGUAGAGCACCUGCCUUUUAAGCAGAGGGUCGCAGGUUCGAGUCCUGCACGGGGGACAA
rnacentral:tRNA from 1 species